GACAGUCGCGCUUUACGGCAGUUUUGCGACAGUCGCGCUUUACGGCAGUUUUACGAUAGUCGCGCUUUACUGUACAAGAAAUGUAACACCUUUUUGGAUCAGUCCUGGGAUGAAGUAUUGCAAUUUAAAUUCCAAACCCUCAUCUCUGUUCUGUGAGCUCUACUUUAAUCCAUGGCAUCUGCUUGUCUAUUCCAAAGGUUUGUUCAUGCAUAUCCUGGAUUUUGUGCAUAGAGGCAUUUAGGUAUUUGAACAAUUCUGCAAUGCAGCAUGUGAACUACACAGGCAGAUGUCUCCUGCGAAUCAUCUCACCACCACAACAGCGGCAAACACUUCCUGGCCUUUUGGAGCAGAAUGUUCUCCAGGCAUACAAAGCUUAACAUUUAGAGCAACAUCCAAGAAGAAGCUGCCUCCUGCUUGAUAUCUCCCUGACAGCACCAAUAAAUCCUCAAAAAGAGAAAUGUGUUUUCUACAGAAGUGAAGUUGUAACAACAGGAGCAACAGGACUGAAUUCCAGGUGAAAUCCAACAGCUGCUUUCAGCACCCACUCUGUCUCCCCCGAACAUUUUCCUGUCUGUGUGUCCUUCCAUGAGCUGUGUGUCCUUUCACGAAUUGUGUGCCAGGGCUCGCCUUCCGUUCAUCUGCCCCUCAUUGGAUCCAGAGCUGAGCUUCACAUGGGCAGGAGAUGGUGUGGCUGAGGAUGAGGAUGGUGUGGCUGAGGAUGAGGAUGAUGUGGCUGAGGAAGGCCAUCCUGGAGGGACAACCAAACAGACUCUCAAGUUCAGUGUCCUGCAUCUUCCCUUUGUACAAAAUAACCUCUGUGUGACAGGCUUGCUAGUGAAGUCCUGGCAAGUUUGCUUCCAAGGCAAAAAUCCUGCAGGCAUUUAUGGAAACCUCCUUUUUCUCUAAUGCAGAAGCUUCAAGAAAUCAGGCUCAAUACUAAAACAGGCAAAUGAGCAAAGGUAAAACCAUAUUCACACCAACCCCACACCCCUUCAGCAUCCCCACCUGGGUCAUCCCUCCUCUUUGCAUCCAAACUUGAGCCUCUUAGAGGUGCUGAGGAGAAGCUCAGUGGGAAAGCUCACUUUGGAAGGACACCCACUUUACAAUGUUAACUUCUCUCUCCAUUUUCCUUUUCAUUUCCUUAUGUCAUUUUUUCUUGUUCCUUGUCUCCCAGGAUGUCUCCCAUGUAAAUUCCUCUCCCCUAGACCCACCUUUUCCCUCCCUUUUCCCAGUGACAUACAGCAACCCCAGGAAGGAGCCCAUAGUCCUUGCAGGCCCUCAAAAAUCACCAAAUCCUUUGCAGCUACUGAAGUUACUCUCGGGGAGACAGAGCUCCUAAAUCCCUCAUGUCCCAGUUAUCCUGCACCAGGUGUUCCUGCACAGCCAGGCUGACCCUGGUGCUCUGUUCUUCCAGAGAUUUUCCUCAGCAGAGGUGGGAAAUGUUAUGAAAAGAUUUCCAGUGCUUUCUGUUUUCUCCCAGACGAUGGGCACUGACGUGUAGGAAUUAGCUGAAAUACUGCACAACAGUCACAAGUAGAAAUUCUUUCUUCAUUAAUUGUAAAACCUCAUUUCUUACAUGGCAAGAAUAAAGAUAGAGAGAAGCUUCCAGUAAAUGCCUAAAUAAUUUCAACUCUUAUUUGAACAAAAGCCUUUCUCUCAGCAGCAUCACACAUGCUUUUAUUUGGGACCUUUUCAAGCAUUGUUUCUGUUAGGAGGAAAAAAUUCUGUUGGAUUGUCAAGCCAAUCUGUUGCUCUCUUUAACUAUAAAUUAAUUCUUCGAGUUUAUUCUCUUCUCCCUACAUCUUUCUGUGUUCUGGUUUUUGUCUGUCAUCACUGCAACUUGCCAAAAUUCACCAAAAUUUACAAUGAACCAAGUGCAAGAAUUAGGGUUAUGGGCCUGGUAGAAUUUGGACUUCCCACUUACUGCAGAAGUAACAGAAAAGUAUUUUGAUUUGUAGCAUCUAGGAAAUUCUUGUCAACUUUCCCCAGAGUCCUUCUGUUGACUUUAAAUAAAACUCACCAUUAGUAGAAAAUCUGCCUCCCACUUCCCUGCUGUAGGGAGACUGUCCUUCAGAGAAAGAUGAAAAUGCAGAAACAGCUUGUCUCACAUUUACAGGCUUCCUAACAGCCAAAUUCUGUGCUCCUCCUGAACAGGCCAGCCCAAAAAGAGAAGAUACAAAGGAGAAAUUCACCAGGCUCAGCAGUGAGUGCUGCCCAUAACGCUGUUGUAGGAUGCUGUUGUAGGAUCCACAGAGAGCUGCACAGGGGCCCUGGUACAGGCCCCUGUCAUAUCUGAUGUUGUGGGUGGAAAUAUAAUCCCACAGAACUUUCACAAAUGUCUGCAAAAAGCUCUGUUAAUACAGACUUUGAGUCAAUCACUGUAAAUUCCAUUCUAAAAUAAAUGACAAGUUACACUGACUUGUUUGCCUUAACUGUAGAUAGGCCUGCCAAUGUAUAUUGUUGCUGAGGUUAUAUCUACUGCAUUGUGAUACACAACUGGUUCUGUUUUAUAAAUAGAUCCAUUUUUGUGCAUUUCAUCCAAGAUAUAAAUUA